rnacentral:rRNA from 1 species
GACGAACGCUGGCGGCGUGCCUAAUACAUGCAAGUAGAACGCUGAAGAGAGGAGCUUGCUCUUCUUGGAUGAGUUGCGAACGGGUGAGUAACGCGUAGGUAACCUGCCUUGUAGCGGGGGAUAACUAUUGGAAACGAUAGCUAAUACCGCAUAACAAUGGAUGACACAUGUCAUUUAUUUGAAAGGGGCAAUUGCUCCACUACAAGAUGGACCUGCGUUGUAUUAGCUAGUAGGUGAGGUAAUGGCUCACCUAGGCGACGAUACAUAGCCGACCUGAGAGGGUGGUCGGCCAAACUGGGAAUGAGACACGGCCCAGACUCCUACGGGAGGCAGCAGUAGGGGAUCUUCGGCAAUGGGGGCAACCCUGACCGAGCAACGCCGCGUGAGUGAAGAAGGUUUUCGGAUCGUAAAGCUCUGUUGUAAGUCAAGAACGGGUGUGAGAGUGGAAAGUUCACACUGUGACGGUAGCUUACCAGAAAGGGACGGCUAACUACGUG